rnacentral:misc_RNA from 1 species
GGAAGGAUCAUUAACACUUUAUAUCCACUAUAAACCAAAGUUGAACACGUCGUUGUGUUGGUCGUACGGAGCGAAAGGCUAUGUGGUGAGGAAUUGGGAAGGGAGGGAAAAAAGAGGGUUUACCCUUUUGUUUCUCUUUCUUUUUGGUUCUCGUCUUCGUUUCCACGGUUUCUCUUUUGAGGAGCCAUACACCAGCAUGAUUGAUCAUCACGGUUAUUUAACCCCUAUGAAUUAUUGUACUAAUCUUCUUAUUGUGGAUUCUUUGCGCCGCAAGGCCGAAGGUCUCAUUAAGCAUUUUACGAAACAUUGAACAACUCUUAGCAACGGAUAUCUUGGUUUCCGCACCGAUGAAGAACGCAGCGAAAUGCGAUACGUAAUGCGAAUUGCAGAAUUCAGUGAAUCAUCAAAUUUUUGAACGCAACUGGCGCUUUCGGGUUAGUCCUGAAAGCACGUUUCUCUGAGUAUCGGUUCUACCUCACCUCGACUGCGUUCUUCUCACGAGGAACGUUCAGCUCGGAUAGUGAAUGUCAUGAGGGCCCGAAACCCAUCAUGUCAUUUGAAGAACAGAGCGUACUCGCCUUCUCAUUUGUGAAUCGUUUUCUUCGGAGAGCGACUGUGCAUACCAGUGAAUGGUCUGCCUGACAUCUGGGUGACGUGGGAUAAUUUCACCUUUGUGUGAAUAAAAACCUUCUCCGUCGCUUUUACCAGUGUUAGGUUUUCGAGUUUCGAAAGCUGUGUGCAUGGCAAAACCUAUGGGUAUGAGGUGUAGUAUUGUCACAAUCACUAACAACUGAGUUUUUUUUUCCAAAAAAGCUUGGAAGUUAUGGUAUAACAUUAAUUCAGAAUUAGAUCUCAGAUGAAGCGAGAGGACCCGCUAAAUUUAAGCAUAUUAUUAAGCGGAGGAAAAGAAACUAACAAGGAUUCCCCUAGUAACGGCGAGUGAAGCGGGAGAAGCUCAAAUUGUAAAUCGGGAACCCUAAUAGGUUUCCGAAUUGUAGUCUAGAGAUAUGCUGCCAGCGAUCGACCGAGGUAUAAAUUUUUUUGGAACAAGGUAUCAUAGAGGGUGAGAAUCCCGUCUGUGACCUCGAGUUCGUCGCGUACGGCACGUAUUCAUUGAGUCGAAUAGCUUGGGAUUGCUGUUCUAAAUUGGUGGUAAAUUUCAUCAAAAGCUAAAUAUUGGCGGAAGACCGAUAGCGAACAAGUACCGUGAGGGAAAGAUGAAAAGAACUUUGAAAGAGAGUUAAAAAGUACUUGAAAUUGUUAAGAGGGAAGCACUGGAAACCAGUAGCUGCCGAGUGUCUAUAUUUACUAUCCGACAGCGGAUGAUUCAGGUAAGGAGAGGGAAUACCUCCUUGCUUGUCUCUGAUGUUGAUGGGUGGGUCUGUAGCAUUUGGCGAGUCAGAAUCAAGUCGAAUUCGCGGGAGAAAAUCGGUGGUAAGGUCACCCCUACUUCGGGAAGGGUAGAGACCGCCGACGAUACCGUGGAUUUGCUUGAGGUACUGAGAACAGGCGCCGUUCGCGGCUCGUUUCACCGGUUCCUAGCGCGUGGUUCGUCUUGGAUAACAAAGUUAUGCGGAUGGAGAAGCGCGCUACUGGAUUGGCUGAAUUCAGAUGUCUGUUAGCGAUUCUGACGAAAUGGUUUUCAUUGACCCGUCUUGAAACACGGACCAAGGAGUCUAACAUAUAUGCGAGUAUUUGGGUGGUAAACCCUGAUGCGUAAUGAAAGUAAAGGCAGCUUUUUGGUUGCUGAGGUAGGAAUUUGGGCUUCGGCUUGAAGGCACUAUCGACCGAUCAUUCACUUGUGAAAGAUUUGAGUAAGAGCAUAUCUGUUGGGACCCGAAAGAUGGUGAUCUAUGCCUGAACAGGGUGAAGCCAGGGGAAACUCUGGUGGAGGCUCGUAGCGAUACUGACGUGCAAAUCGUUCGUCUGAUUUGGGUAUAGGGGCGAAAGACUAAUCGAACUAUCUAGUUGCUGGUUCCCGC